CCUCCACUACCAGGGCCUACGUUGUCCGCCCUCCAGAGUCCAGGGUUUGCAAUGUUUUCAGGCCUAAGUAUGUGCCAGACACUAUCCUGGACCUCUGAACAUCAGAAAUGAAAGCUCCCCUUUCUGUGGUAGCAGGCUGUGUAGGAAGCAUACCACAGACCAUGUACUG
rnacentral:lncRNA from 1 species